AACAGGAUUAGAUACCCUGGUAGUCCACGCUGUAAACGAUGUCGACUUGGAGGUUGUGCCCUUGAGGCGUGGCUUCCGGAGCUAACGCGUUAAGUCGACCGCCUGGGGAGUACGGCCGCAAGGUUAAAACUCAAAUGAAUUGACGGGGGCCCGCACAAGCGGUGGAGCAUGUGGUUUAAUUCGAUGCAACGCGAAGAACCUUACCUACUCUUGACAUCCAGAGAAUUUGCUAGAGAUAGCUUAGUGCCUUCGGGAACUCUGAGACAGGCGCUGCAUGGCUGUCGUCAGCUCGUGUUGUGGAAUGUUGGGUUAAGUCCCGCAACGAGCGCAACCCUUAUCCUUUGUUGCCAGCACGUAAUGGUGGGAACUCAAAGGAGACUGCCGGUGAUAAACCGGAGGAAGGUGGGGAUGACGUCAAGUCAUCAUGGCCCUUACGAGUAGGGCUACACACGUGCUACAAUGGCAUAUACAAAGAGAAGCGAACUCGCGAGAGCAAGCGGACCUCAUAAAGUAUGUCGUAGUCCGGAUUGGAGUCUGCAACUCGACUCCAUGAAGUCGGAAUCGCUAGUAAUCGUAGAUCAGAAUGCUGCGGUGAAUACGUUCCCGGGCCUUGUACACACCGCCCGUCACACCAUGGGAGUGGGUUGCAAAAGAAGUAGGUAGCUUAACCUUCGGGAGGGCGCUUACCACUUUGUGAUUCAUGACUGGGGGGAAGUCGUAACAAGGUAACC
rnacentral:rRNA from 1 species